rnacentral:misc_RNA from 1 species
GUCUUUUAAAGCCAACCCAAAAUAGGUCAUUUAGGGCCUAAAAGGUGACACCAAAACUUCGACAAGGGCAUCGUAGCCUUUGAUUGUUUUAGCAAGGUUUUUACCCUUGCAUAUGUGUUAUUCUUUUCCAUCUUUUUCUCAGUACCACUUCAAUUUCUUUAUACUUGGAUCUCAUUAGCUAUGCAAACUGCAUCUCCCUUGUGUAGAGCAUCCUCAUCCCAUGCUUGCACUUUUUCGAUCUAGUUGAGAACUCUCUCCAGUUGAAAAGAUGUUCCACACUAAUGUGCCUAUGAUGUAAAAUACAACAGCCACCUGAAACACAUCAUCCCAAGAACCAGCAGAACAGAGUUUCAGACAUGAUGCAAAUUUGAAGAAAAAGAAAAGCACCACCACAGAGUGAAGUAGGAGUGUAGGACUGUUUCCAGUUUUUUAACCUCUUUGGAGAAUGCACCCAG